ACUGUAGCCAUAUAAUACCACUCAUAGACUUUUUCAUUAUUUAAUUAGGAUGAAGAGAAAACUAGUUUUUUAUGAAGUUGAACAUGUGCUCUUUAUCUCAGUGUUAAAAUUAGGUGAAAUCAAAGUUGUUGUUUUUUACUCACCAUCACAGUUUAAAAUCACUGCCAAAGUUUUGGCUUUGUGGCCCAAAAAAGUAUCUCCAUUGACCAAUAUGUAAAUAAUAAUUUAACUCUGUAGACUAGAUUUCAUAGCCAUGCAUUUCUGGAAUAUUGUCAGGCAUUACAUGCAAUUUUAGUAAAGAUGCAAAUGUAUUUACAUGUAUCUGAAAUACAUUUUACAUGACAUUAAAUGUAUUUAAAUGUAUCAUUUUUUUCGUAUGGAAAGGGUGAGUUAACUUUUGCUAUGUAAACAGGUGUGUAUGUCUUGGUGAUGUGAACAAAAGUUCCUCUAUACAGUUGUGUUAAUGAUGUCACCUCUAUUAUCAUGUAUGCUCAUAUAUGCACAGUGUCAUAAUUGUAUAGAAAACACAUACACACAGACAUAAACACAGUUUUAGAACGCUAUCUGUUCUGUUGAGAGAUCGUUUUCGAUAUGAGACAGAAUCUAAUUGUGUGUGUGAUGUUAUAGACAGUAGAUGGGAGAAAGGCUUAUUUGGUACAAUGUGUGUCAAUGGGAGGUGGUCAUGAGUAACUAUGGUAGCUAAAGAUUCAAUCAGCCCUUCUACCUGGCCUAGCCAUACAUCCAGUGUACGUCCCAAAUGGCAACCUAUUACCUAAAUAAUGCACUGCUUUUGACCAGGGCCCUAUAGUCUCUGACAUACCCUCAAAAUAUAAGGAAUAGGGUGCCAUUUGGAACGUAGCCCCAGUGAGUAACAGCUGAUGUUGUCCUGCAGGGCCUCUCCAUUACUGGACCUGACACAUCCACGCAACUGAACCCUUCCAAGCCCAGCCACUAAUCCACACAUACACACAGACUUUUUCCUGCUGAAAUUCUAACAUGUCCAAAAGCGAAUACUGGAACAAUACUUCUAACAUAGAACGUGGGGAAUGGUCAGAGGCAAUCUAUAGAGCACUAAUGUCAUUUUGUUUGUUAUUUUGUGAUGACGUUAAAAUGUUAUAAAGGAAAUACUGUAACUUGGAAAGUAUACCCACUACAUAUAUGAAGUUUACAUACUCCGUGUUGUGCAUAUAAAAUUAACAAUUAUGAAAGUGUUUUUGUUAAGAGAGGGAUGUGAUUUGAUAAGCUAUAAGAGAUAAUUGUUUUACCUAACUUUGCACAUUGUUUUACCUAACUUUGAGUCGUUACCGCCUGGAGUGAGGUCAGGGAGCGUGUCAGCCUGCCGGAACCACCCCUUUUGAGUAAAAUGUAUAAAUGAUGGGUUAAGAAAAAAACACAUCAGACCAGAAAGACGUGAAGCUACAGCUGCAGGUUUACAGUGGUUUGAAGUUUUUACUUUUAAUCUCAACACGAGGUGGAGACGAUAAACUCAUCUCCAGGAUGAUCACUAGUAUGGCUGAUUAGCUGUCCUAAGUAAAGUAUCUUCUAAAGCGAAUUUAAGUUGCACUAUCCUGUUACUCUGCUCAAACUAUCGAUACGGCUGGGUAGCCUAUCUUCAAAGAAGAGUGAAUGGAAGGAAAGUCAACUCUGUAGUUCUGUUCAGGACUACACAUCAAGUCACCGGAUACCGGACAACCACAAAGAAGGACAACAGUAGAAGACUUGUUGGAACCAUUUCGGACAAUCAGAGCCUUACAAGCGUGCCGCGAAAAGGCCAAACCCCCUUUCCAAGGCUGCCCUGUUCACCGAGAGAUCCCCAGCAAACCCAGGCAUUUCACGUAAAUACAUUCAUGAUUUCUUACUCAAAGCAGGCGGCGGUUCGUGUGCAAAGUAUAUGGUUACUGUAGGUGAGAGUAGUUUCUGAAUGUACCAAUGCUAAGUGUCUCUGUCCCUCUCUCUCUCCCUCUCCAUCUCUUUUGUAAUUAGCAGCCAUGUUGUUGUCAUUUCGCUAGGGACCUGUUUUCAGCGUAUUAAGUCUACAGUCAAUAACCGGUGCAAAGUGUGUAUGUUUAUCCUGUGUUCCCAUUUAAUUAGCUAGUAAAUAAAUAAUUAAACCAAUUUGUGUAGUACUGAAUCAUAAGUACGGCUUGGGUUUUUGCAGAUGCAAGGAAGUUACGACUGUUCAGAAUGAUGACAUGAUAUGAG
rnacentral:lncRNA from 1 species